GAUGAACGCUGGCGGCGUGCUUAACACAUGCAAGUCGAACGGAAAGGCUCCUGCUUGCAGGGGUACUCGAGUGGCGAACGGGUGAGUAACACGUGGGUGAUCUGCCCUGCACUUCGGGAUAAGCCUGGGAAACUGGGUCUAAUACCGGAUAGGACGAUGGUUUGGAUGCCAUUGUGGAAAGUUUUUCGGUGUGGGAUGAGCUCGCGGCCUAUCAGCUUGUUGGUGGGGUAAUGGCCUACCAAGGCGUCAACGGGUAGCCGGCCUGAGAGGGUGUACGGCCACAUUGGGACUGAGAUACGGCCCAGACUCCUACGGGAGGCAGCAGUGGGGAAUAUUGCACAAUGGGCGCAAGCCUGAUGCAGCGACGCCGCGUGGGGGAUGACGGCCUUCGGGUUGUAAACUCCUUUCGCUAGGGACGAAGCGCAAGUGACGGUACCUGGAGAAGAAGCACCGGCUAACUACGUG
rnacentral:rRNA from 1 species